rnacentral:rRNA from 1 species
UACGUAGGUGGCAAGCGUUGUCCGGAUUUAUUGGGUUUAAAGGGUGCGUAGGCGGUCUAUUAAGUCAGCGGUGAAAUACUCCAGCUUAACUGGAGGGGUGCCAUUGAUACUGAUGGACUUGAGUCAAGUCGAGGUAGGCGGAAUUGACGGUGUAGCGGUGAAAUGCGCAGAUAUCGGGAGGAACACCGGUGGCGAAGGCGGCUAUCUGGACAGAGUCUGACGCUGAGGCGCGAAAGCUAGGGGAGCAAACAGG